rnacentral:lncRNA from 1 species
CACAACUUGGCUAUAGUUUUCUAACAGCCUUGUCUACACAUGUAACCAGUUUACUCUUAAGUCCCUGGAUUAGUUAGUCAAAAGGUGCUCUAGAGAAACAGAACCAAAGAAUGUGUAUACAGAGGCAUAUUUAUUUCAAAGAAUUGGCUCAUGUAAUUGUGAAAGCUUGGUUAAGGCCAAAAUUAAGCAGGGCAGAGACUUAGGAAAGAGUUGCAGUUGUGUUCAAAAGCAGUCAGCUGGCUGAAUUUAUCCUCACUUGGAAAAGACUUGGAUUGGGCCUACACCACUGGUUGUCUUGGACCUCUGGCUUACAGAUGGAAGUUUGUGGGACUUUUCAUCCAUCUAUCUGUCAAGUAAAGUUGAGGAUGUAUUGUCAGAUCCUUGUACAGAAGAAAAGAAGUGAAAAUAAUGAAAACAAUGGCAAGAGAAGUUACUAUUUCCCAGAGGAAAAACGCUGCUGUAAAAGGAGCUCAUAUAUUUUAGCUGUGGUGUUAAUUUUGAAGUCAGCAUGAGUCAUUAAAUUAAAGUAUUGUAAUUUGGAAAUAUAUUUAAAAUGAAAAGAAA